AUUGAACGCUGGCGGCGUGCCUAACACAUGCAAGUCGAGCGGUAACAGGUGUAGCAAUACAUGCUGACGAGCGGCGGACGGGUGAGCAAUAUUUGGGAAUCUGCCUAUUAGUGGGGGAUAACCCGGGGAAACUCGGGCUAAUGCCGCAUACGCUCUACGGAGGAAAGCCGGGGACCGCAAGGCCUGGCGCUAGUAGAUGAGCCCAAAUCGGAUUAGCUAGUUGGUGAGGUAACGGCUCACCAAGGCGACGAUCCGUAGCUGGUUUGAGAGAACGACCAGCCACACCGGAACUGAGACACGGUCCGGACUCCUACGGGAGGCAGUAGUGGGGAAUAUUGGACAAUGGGCGAAAGCCUGAUCCAGCGACGCCGCGUGGGUGAAGAAGGCCUGCGGG
rnacentral:rRNA from 1 species